AAAAGUCGUAACAAGGUCUCCGUAGGUGAACCUGCGGAGGGAUCAUUACUGAGUGUAAAAACUCCAAACCCAUGUGAACUUACCACUGUUGCCUCGGCGCAGUUUCCUGUCUGGUGGCGAGAGCUGCUGGGCGGGUUGCGCCGGUGGACUACCAAACUCUUGUAAUUUUGGCAUUCUGAAUAAAAAAACUUAAUAAGUUAAAACUUUCAACAACGGAUCUCUUGGUUCUGG
rnacentral:misc_RNA from 1 species